UACAGAGGUCUCAAGCGUUGUUCGGAAUCACUGGGCGUAAAGGGUGCGUAGGCGGCGGAGUAAGUCGGGUGUGAAAUUUGAAGGCUCAACCUUCAACUAGCACCUGAUACUGCUUUGCUUGAGGUCUGAAGAGGAGCUUGGAAUUCUCGGUGUAGCAGUGAAAUGCGUAGAUUUCGAGAAGAACGCUCGCAGCGAAAGCGAAGCUCUGGUCAGAUUCUGACGCUGAGGCACGAAGGCUAGGGGGAGCAAACGGG
rnacentral:rRNA from 1 species